UAAGGUGCGCGCUGCGAACAGCAGGCAGGGUCCUAUCGUCACACUCACGGGCGAAGUCAACAUGGGAGGAGCCGCGCUCAAGACGCUGGUGCUGUUGGUGGUGGCGGUGGUGUCCUGUGCGUCCGCUUUGCCCACCGCUGUCGGAGCUCCUGGCACCAGUAGGGAGUCGCUGACCCCUGCAGAGAGCUUCGCCUUUGGCUUCGGAUGGAGGCCCUGGGGCUGGCCCGGAUAUGGACUGGGGUAUCCCUUCUGGGGUUGAAGACGACAUUUACGUAUUCAAGUGAAAGAAGACACAGACCUCUGCUCAGUCAAUUGCACUAGGGAGUUUCACAAAAGCAAAUAUUGUGUAUUAAAAUACUGAAUAAUAAAAAGGUUCAAAUGUA